rnacentral:rRNA from 1 species
UACGGGGGGGGCAAGCGUUGUUCGGAAUUACUGGGCGUAAAGGGCUCGUAGGCGGCCAACUAAGUCAGACGUGAAAUCCCUCGGCUUAACCGGGGAACUGCGUCUGAUACUGGAUGGCUUGAGUUUGGGAGAGGGAUGCGGAAUUCCAGGUGUAGCGGUGAAAUGCGUAGAUAUCUGGAGGAACACCUGUGGCGAAGGCGGCCCCCUGGUUGGAUACUGACGCUGAUACGCGAAAGCGUGGGGAGCAAACAGG